rnacentral:pre_miRNA from 1 species
AGAGAGAUAGCUGGGUCAAAUGGUGGUGAUUUCAUUCCCAUUUUCCAAGAAAUCUCCGUACUGCUUUCCAUAUUGGCUGCACCAAUUUGCAGUCCCAUCAGCAGU